rnacentral:rRNA from 1 species
UGGGGAAUAUUGCGCAAUGGGGGGAACCCUGACGCAGCAACGCCGCGUGCAGGAAGAAGGUCUUCGGAUUGUAAACUGUUGUCGCGAGGGAAGAAGGAAAUGACGGUACCUCGUGAGAAAGUCACGGCUAACUACGUGCCAGCAGCCGCGGUAAUACGUAGGUGACAAGCGUUGUCCGGAUUUACUGGGUGUAAAGGGCGCGCAGGCGGGACAGCAAGUCAGGAGUGAAAUACCGGGGCUCAACCUCGGGGCUGCUUUUGAAACUGUUGUUCUUGAGUAUCGGAGAGGAAAGCGGAAUUCCCAGUGUAGCGGUGAAAUGCGUAGAUAUUGGGAGGAACACCAGUGGCGAAGGCGGCUUUCUGGACGACAACUGACGCUGAGGCGCGAAAGUGUGGGGAGCAAACAGG